GCUGUUAAGGGUUCGUAGUUGAACUGAGGGUGCUCCAGGUAGACAUUCCAGUCCCUCCCUGCUUUCGGGUUUGGCGACUCUUGCUCCUGGCACUCGUGAACGAUGGAAACAAAUACCACGGGGUUUUUCCCUCCAACAUCAUUCGCAUGCAACGUAUGCCGUGUGGGGGGAUGCCCGUGUUUUUACUGUGACUAAAGAAGCGUGACCAAAGCAGUCAUUCGACGUGGAUUUCAAAGCUGGGAUAACAACGAAGCACCCUACGGAUUUACCGUUUCGGCUUUUGUUGGUGUUAACAGUCUGUGGGGACUAUGGGUUCGCAUGACAAGCGUCGUGGGAGCACACCCCUCGUGGGGUGUUCCCCGCGCCUCCGGGGUUUCUAUUCAGGGCUCGUCCUUGGUCUCUUUUCGGCUUGCGAACUCAGGAAUGAAGGAGGGUUGUUCGGGGGAGAACGUACUUGGACGUGAGAGGUGAAUUCUUAGACCGUCCAAAGACGCACUUAAGCGAAGGCAUUCUUCAAGGGUACCUUCAUCAUCAAGAACCAAAGUGG
rnacentral:rRNA from 1 species